rnacentral:rRNA from 1 species
UAUCUCUGUAGAGUCUGCAUAUCAAUAAGCGGAGGAAAAGAAACUAACUAGGAUUCCCUCAGUAACGGCGAGUGAAGCGGGAAGAGCUCAAAUUUGAAAUCUUCAAGGUUCUACCUUGACGAAUUGUAGUUUAAAGAAGUGUUUUCUGUUGGAGUUUUGGUAAAAGUUCUUUGGAAUAGGACAUCAUAGAGGGUGAGAAUCCCGUAUUUGACCAUUACUUCCAGCUUUGUGAUACACUUUCAAAGAGUCGGAUUGUUUGGGAAUGCAGUCCAAAAUGGGUGGUAAAUUUCAUCUAAAGCUAAAUAUUGGCGAGAGACCGAUAGCGAACAAGUACCGUGAGGGAAAGAUGAAAAGAACUUUGAAAAGAGAGUUAAACAGUACGUGAAAUUGUCAAAAGGGAAGCGUUUGACACCAGUGUUGUUUUCUCGAAAAUCAAUUAAAAAAGGCAGGAUUUUGUGUUGUAUUGACUUUAUCAGCUUUCUGCACUCUUUUCUUGUCCUUUUUAAUGCACUUUUCGUUUAACAAGUCAACAUCAAUUUCUUUUGUUGUAAAAGGGUCAUUGGAAGGUGGCAUUCUUUUCGGAGAAAGUGUUUAUAGCCUUUGGCCUCUGCAAUCGGAGAGAUUGAGGUCUGCAGCGCAGAUCCUUCGGGGUUAGAUACAUUUGUGCUAAGUUAUAGCCUUUCAUAGACAACUUGUUGACUAUGAUCAGUCAUGUAGCUUACUCGCUUAUGCUAUUUUACCUACGCUUAGGAUGUUGACGAUCAGCUGAGCGCG